rnacentral:rRNA from 1 species
AUUGAACGCUGGCGGCAGGCCUAACACAUGCAAGUCGAGCGGGGUUUUCGGACCUAGCGGCGGACGGGUGAGUAACGCGUGGGAACAUGCCCCAAAGUGAGGAGUAAGCCCCAGAAAUGGAGUCUAAUGCCGCAUAUGGUCUUCGGAUUAAAGGAUUUAUCCGCUUUGGGAGUGGCCUGCGUACGGUUAGAUAGUUGGUG